UGCGAAAGUAAGACUAUAUCCCGAUGAAUUCCCUAGAAGACAUCUGAAAGGGAUUAAAGAUUUAUCGGUGAUGGAUGGGGAUGCGUCUGAUUAGCUUGUUGGCGGGGUAACGGCCCACCAAGGCAACGAUCAGUAGGGGUUCUGAGAGGAAGGUCCCCCACAUUGGAACUGAGACACGGUCCAAACUCCUACGGGAGGCAGCAGUGAGGAAUAUUGGUCAAUGGGCGAGAGCCUGAACCAGCCAAGUAGCGUGCAGGACGACGGCCCUAUGGGUUGUAAACUGCUUUUAUAAGGGAAUAAAGUGAGUCUCGUGAGACUUUUUGCAUGUACCUUAUGAAUAAGGACCGGCUAAUUCCGUGCCAGCAGCCGCGGUAAUACGGAAGGUCCGGGCGUUAUCCGGAUUUAUUGGGUUUAAAGGGAGCGUAGGCCGGAGAUUAAGCGUGUUGUGAAAUGUAGACGCUCAACGUCUGCACUGCAGCGCGAACUGGUUUUCUUGAGUACGCACAAAGUGGGCGGAAUUCGUGGUGUAGCGGUGAAAUGCUUAGAUAUCACGAAGAACUCCGAUUGCGAAGGCAGCUCACUGGAGCGCAACUGACGCUGAAGCUCGAAAGUGCGGGUAUCGAACAGGAUUAGAUACCCUGGUAGUCCGCACGGUAAACGAUGGAUGCCCGCUGUUGGUCUGAAUAGGUCAGCGGCCAAGCGAAAGCAUUAAGCAUCCCACCUGGGGAGUAC
rnacentral:rRNA from 1 species